AGUGAACGCUGGCGGUAGGCCUAACACAUGCAAGUCGAACGGCAGCACAGUAAGAGCUUGCUCUUACGGGUGGCGAGUGGCGGACGGGUGAGGAAUACAUCGGAAUCUACUUUUUCGUGGGGGAUAACGUAGGGAAACUUACGCUAAUACCGCAUACGACCUACGGGUGAAAGCAGGGGAUCUUCGGACCUUGCGCGAUUGAAUGAGCCGAUGUCGGAUUAGCUAGUUGGCGGGGUAAAGGCCCACCAAGGCGACGAUCCGUAGCUGGUCUGAGAGGAGGGUCAGCCACACUGGAACUGAGACACGGUCCAGACUCCUACGGGAGGCAGCAGAGGGGAAUAUUGGACAAUGGGCGCAAGCCUGAUCCAGCCAGACCGCGUGGGUGAAGAAGGCCUUGGGGUUGUAAAGCCCUUUUGUUGGGAAAGAAAAGCAGCAGGUUAAUACCCCGCUGUUCUGACGGUACCCAAAGAAUAAGCACCGGCUAACUUCGUG
rnacentral:rRNA from 1 species